AUCUCAGGAUUUAGCCUGCACCUAACCAAUCUUUCCUAAGUUUGGAAACUAGGCAGGGUCAGGCCUAGUUAAUACUUGGAUGGAAGACCACCAGGGAAUACCAAAUACUGGAGGCC
rnacentral:rRNA from 1 species